UCUCGGGUAGCCGGUUUAGACUGUGU
rnacentral:piRNA from 1 species